UAACACCUCAACUUCCAUAUCUUUUUUGAAAUGGGAGUUGGACUUGAGUGAUCCCAACGCUUUUCCUCACCGAAAAGUGGCGGGUUACUUGAAAUGCAGGUGCAGCUGGACUUUUCUCUGAGCUAUAAGCAUAUCUAUUUAGUCUGCCUAAAAAACAGAUUAUUACCUUUGCUGCAGCUAACAUAAAGGAGAUUAGUUCUUGUGCUGACUGAUGCAGGAUUCACAAAGACAGGCUUCGGCCGACUUUGUAA
rnacentral:misc_RNA from 1 species